GAGUGUGAAGACCUGAGGUAUCAGGGGUAGGGGUUGCUCUGCUUGUGUAAGUCCCAUAGUGUGAAGGCCAGAGAACCAAGAGAUGGUCAAGAAGAGAGACAAGACCAACCCCGCCUCUUCCUUCUCCUUCUCGACCUACUCAAAGUAAAGAUGAGGAUGAAGACCCUUAAGAUGAUCCACUCCCACUUAAUGAAUAGAGCAUCACGACCUGUGCAGACUCCCCAGCAUCAUAACAGGAAGGUCCCACGAUCACGAGCACAUUGCCUUCAGCAUCCAGCACUGAAUAUGGUGAAUUGCACUCUGAAGAGCUUCCUAAGCUUGUAAGAAAGUGAUUCUGAAAAGCUCAACAUUUUGGUAGAAUGGAGAGAUUUGACAUUGCUUCUGCUCCAAAAGCAAAAGACUUGGGCCUGGCGUAAAGGAGAUGGGACUCACACCCAAGAGGAUGCAUUUCCAUACACCCAUUUCUGAAAUAUGAAGAGGUGUCCAGUCUGUUUGAUUCAUAGCUGCCUGUUCCACAACUGCAGAUACAGUAAUUGAUAACCGAGACCAAGUUCUCAUCCCCAUCUCCCAGGGCUGGAACUGGGGCUGUGUUUGGUUCUCAUAAGAUCAGUUCCAGUUUUAGAAACUGAGUAAAUUGUGGAGUAAAUAUUGCCAAGUGAUGGCUUUCUGCUGUAGGCGUGGGUCGCUGUUGGCCAUUUGCCUCAGCAUAUCACCAGCAAUGCACCUCAUUGCAUCACUGCAUUUCCAAUUACACCUCAAAGCACCACUGGUCCCCUGUCCACCCUCUGCCCUGCAGAGGUGGGUGUUCAGGGAGACAGAUCCAAAAUCUGGGCUCAGAAGAUGGAAAUGCCAACUGCUCUCAAUUUGAGAGUGGGGAUGAGACUUUUUGACUCAACUCUGGUUAAUUCAGCCAUGCUGUCAGAGCUGCUUUGAUGCAAGGACAUCUGAAUGCUAUCUGAAUGCUGCCCCUAAAAUAACAAAUUAAAAACAACAACAACAACAAAAA
rnacentral:lncRNA from 1 species